rnacentral:rRNA from 1 species
AUUGACGCUGGCGGCAUGCUUUACACAUGGCAAGUCGAACGGGUAACAUAAGAAAGCUUGCUUUCUUGAUGACAAGUGGCGAACGGGUGAGUAAUACAUCGGAACGUACCCUGUAGUGGGGGAUAACUACUCGAAAGAGUGGCUAAUACCGCAUACAACCUGAGGGUAAAAGUGGGGGACCGCAAGGCCUCACGCUAUAGGAGCGGCCGAUGGAAGAUUAGGUAGUUGGUGGGGUAAAGGCCUACCAAGCCGACGAUCUUUAGCGGGUCUGAGAGGACGAUCCGCCACACUGGGACUGAGACACGGCCCAGACUCCUACGGGAGGCAGCAGUGGGGAAUUUUGGACAAUGGGCGAAAGCCUGAUCCAGCAAUGCCGCGUGAGUGAAGAAGGCC